rnacentral:rRNA from 1 species
UGCGUAGGUGGCCUUUUAAGUUGGAUGUGAAAUACCCGGGCUUAACCUGGGGGGUGCAUCUAAUACUGGGAGGCUAGAGUGCAGGAGAGGAAAGCGGAAUUCCUAGUGUAGCGGUGAAAUGCGUAGAUAUUAGGAGGAACGCCAGUGGCGAAGGCGGCUUUCUGGACUGUAACUGACACUGAGGCACGAAAGCGUGGGGAGCAAACA